rnacentral:rRNA from 1 species
GACAUUAGACUACCCUGUAGUCCAGGGUGUAAACGCUGCAGACUUGGUGUUGGAAGCCCUUUGGGGGCAUUCAGUGCCGGAGAGAAGUUGUUAAGUCUGCUGCUUGGGGAGUACGUCCGCAAGGAUGAAACUUAAAGGAAUUGGCGGGGGAGCACCGCAACGGGAGGAGCGUGCGGUUUAAUUGGAUUCAACACCGUAAACUCACCAGGGAAGACUGUUACAUGAAGGCCGAGAUGAAGACUCUGCUAGAUUUCAG